GCCUGACAACUGCUGUGAUUCUGAGUGUGGUUGUCAACGUUAUCCUCUUUGUGAGAAUGAAGAGGUCACGAUGUGAACACUGUGCAGCGGGGACCCCUUCUCAGCAGAGCCAGUAUGGGAAGCCUCAUGUCAACACGUCAGACCAACAGCUCCAUAGUGACGAUGAUGGCCUGAACUACUCUGCCCUGAAGU